UACGUAGGGGGCAAGCGUUGUCCGGAAUUAUUGGGCGUAAAGAGCUUGUAGGCGGUUUGUCGCGUCUGCUGUGAAAAUCCGGGGCUCAACCCCGGACUUGCAGUGGGUACGGGCAGACUAGAGUGUGGUAGGGGAGACUGGAAUUCCUGGUGUAGCGGUGGAAUGCGCAGAUAUCAGGAGGAACACCGAUGGCGAAGGCAGGUCUCUGGAACGGUACUGACGCUGAGGCGCGAAAGCGUGGGGAGCGAACAGG
rnacentral:rRNA from 1 species